UCACAAUUCACAUUAAAACCUUUCAUGCUGCAUGGAGAUCUAGAUACGAAAAAAAAAAAAAAACUUUUUUAACCGCGAUAAAAAGACCAGGAAUACUAGGAAUAAUAGGACGAAGUCGUUUUGCGGCAACACAUUAUAGCAGAAUCCUAGUUGCAAUUUUUAUCCCGCCCCCUCAUUUGAAAGUGGACGAAAUUCAAAUGACGAAUAAGUUAAAAACUUUGGUACACAACACAAACUUUUCGCAACUUUUUGCAUUUAAUUUAUUCGUACUAUAUACCAGAAAUGAUAAAAUUUUGAAAUAUCGAAUAAGCUAGUAGGAAACUUUGCCACGUUACCGAUGACUAGUUUGGUAUUCAAAUACUUCUAGCCUGGCUUAUAGUCAGCUUAUAGUGUGCAGUGUGAAUGUCUAAACUUCAUGCCUGUGCUUCUUCCAGAUCCGCCAUUGACACCUCCAGAUCUUCAGCUGUGUUCCGGGAUUUUUUAUUGCCCGAAUGAAAUCCUCCACGACCACGGCUUCGAAACAUACCCCGAUUCGAACUGUGCCCAAACCCAAACAUUUUACUGGCUGGCUUGGGUUUAAUUACUGAAGGAUCUGUAUUAGCAGCUAACUUCUUUUUCUUUUCACCAUUCUUAGAAGAAUCAUAGCGAAAGUCAGGGGGGAAUUUAUGCACUUCUAUGCAGUGUGAGCGUCGUUCAU